rnacentral:rRNA from 1 species
CUACGUGCCAGCAGCCGCGGUAAUACGGAAGGUCCGGGCGUUAUCCGGAUUUAUUGGGUUUAAAGGGAGUGUAGGCGGUCUGUUAAGCGUGUUGUGAAAUUUAGGUGCUCAACAUUUAACUUGCAGCGCGAACUGUCAGACUUGAGUACACGCAGCGCAGGCGGAAUUCAUGGUGUAGCGGUGAAAUGCUUAGAUAUCAUGAGGAACUCCGAUCGCGAAGGCAGCCUGCGGGAGUGUUACUGACGCCUAAGCUCGAAGGUGCGGGUAUCAAACAGGAUUAGAUACCCUGGUAGUCCGCACAGUAAACGAUGGAUGCCCGCUGUUGGUACCUGGUAUCAGCGGCUAAGCGAAAGCAUUAAGCAUCCCACCUGGGGAGUACGCCGGCAACGGUGAAACUCAAAGGAAUUGACGGGGGCCCGCACAAGCGGAGGAACAUGUGGUUUAAUUCGAUGAUACGCGAGGAACCUUACCCGGGCU